AUUGAACGCUGGCGGCAGGCUUAACACAUGCAAGUCGAGCGGUAGCACAAGAGAGCUUGCUCUCUGGGUGACGAGCGGCGGACGGGUGAGUAAUGUCUGGGAAACUGCCUGAUGGAGGGGGAUAACUACUGGAAACGGUAGCUAAUACCGCAUAACGUCGCAAGACCAAAGAGGGGGACCUUCGGGCCUCUUGCCAUCAGAUGUGCCCAGAUGGGAUUAGCUAGUAGGUGGGGUAAUGGCUCACCUAGGCGACGAUCCCUAGCUGGUCUGAGAGGAUGACCAGCCACACUGGAACUGAGACACGGUCCAGACUCCUACGGGAGGCGGCAGUGGGGAAUAUUGCACAAUGGGCGCAAGCCUGAUGCAGCCAUGCCGCGUGUGUGAAGAAGGCCUUCGGGUUGUAAAGCACUUUCAGCGAGGAGGAAGGUGGUGAACUUAAUACGUUCAUCAAUUGACGUUACUCGCAGAAGAAGCACCGGCUAACUCCGUG
rnacentral:rRNA from 1 species